rnacentral:lncRNA from 1 species
AACCCCCUUCAUCAUCUCCCACAGCACGCCGCCACCCACCACCUCUUCGCGUCCUUCCUCCCACAGCUCGCCGUUGGCCCUCCCUCUCCCUUCCCCUCACCUCGCAGCUCCGGCACCUACCAGAUCCGCCGCAUCCCCCACCCAUCCAUCCCUCUCGUACCACAUUCAUUCCUCUCCGGCGGUCGCCUGAGACCCCUAGCCGUGGCAUCGUGUCCAACACAGCACAUCUCCGGCGGCUCCUCUCUAUCCACACAACGCGUCUCUGGUAGCUCCUCUCUAUCCACACCUCGCCCCCUCGAGCCCACCUUGCCGGCUGCGCGGUGGUGUCAUUGUGCAACGUCUAGCGGCGGGCGACCAACUCCUGGGCCGCCGUCGGUGUCUCGGUGACACCUCUUCUCCACCAAGGUUAGUCCCCUGUCUGCCCAAGAUCACUACAACCCCAUCCCUGAUAUCCCCUGACCUGCCUCUCGUGAUUUGGGUUGACCCCCGAUGUCUACGUGCAGGAAGUGUUCGAGAGCCCUGCAAUUCAUGAACAGUUUCUGAGUACUUAGCAUUCAAGGAGCAGCUUCUCAAUGAGCAGUCUGUCUCAGGAUGAAAUUUUAGCAUUUGUAGGUAAUUUUCCAUUCUACUUGUAGUAAAUAACCUUAUGAAUUCGUUCUCUCUGUCUUGACAACAGUUCCAGCAGCAAAUUUCUGCUUGAGCUUGCUUCACCCGCUACUCUGUAUACUGGCUGUGGAUUCAGAGUGUGUUGCCUGACUCGUGUGAUUGAUGGCCUUUUUUAAAUCGUUGAUGUAUGAUGUAUCUGAGGGAGGGAGGCAGUGAUUGAUAUACCAAGUUACGAUAUUAUUGAUGAGUUUUUUUUUUCAAUCGCUAUAUAGUAUAGUGUUUAUUUCACUUGCAAUGUUAGCUUCCUUGGUGCCCUUUCUUACUAUAUAGAUGGUACUUAAUGCUGCAUGCGUAUUUGGACAAUCGCUUCACCUCUGUUCCUAUAUAGAUUCAUUACAAAGGUCGAACACUGUCAGUGUCGAUCACCUAGCGUGGCUACUGCUCUCUCUAACUAUAAAGAUGUGUUCUCUGUGCGUGCUGACAAGGUGCCGCAGCUACUAUCGAGGUCUCUGGUGCAGCAGCCGGUGUGUUGUGUGUGCGCGCUUCCUCUCUGAAUGUUUAACACUAAAUUUUCUCUGAAUUUUUUCUGUAUCAUGUACACUGCAGGGUACCAAGUAGAGACAAACAACAAUGUACAAGUAGAGACAACCGCCGCGCUGUGGUAUGUGGCCUUCUAUCAAGUUCUAAUUUAGUUCAGAUUUUUCCCUAGGUCUUGGAGACAUGAUUUUUGUUACUGUAUUAACUUGUUGACAUGUUGUGUUUAGUGUUUUCUCCCCAUGUAUUUCCCAGGUAUUUUUAUUUUUCUGUCCUUAUUGUCUCCUGCAGCCCAGCGAACAUGUAUUCCAGAAAUAAGUUUACUCUGAACCUAAGAAGAAAAUUACAUUGUUACAUUGUGGCAGUCGUACAGUAAGAAUACAGAGGUAUAAACUUGUUAAUUUGUGUACUAAGCACAUAUAUUAGUGAGUCAAUUUAGAGUAGUAGUACUACUAUUAGUUGUGCACCUACUAGUACCAAGGCCACGUGUUCGCUCACUCUCUCUCAACCUGGAGGCACACACUCAGCUAGCACUUGCCAGCACAUUGACACAACGCAUUGUUUGUUGAACUCCUUUGCUUCAUCACUAGGUCGCCCUCCUGAAUAGUGCUCAUGACAAGUGAUCCUAAAUAUUUUUUCUUUAUGUUGUUCCUCUCCUUUUAUUUCGAUCACUUAACACUUUAAUUGUCUUAUUAUGAUCUCUAUUUCUGGGAUGCAGGUCUAAGUAGCUUCAUAACAAUCGUGCCGCUGCAUGGCGCACAAUUGAGCUUGAUAGGGCAACCAUGGCGGCCGUUGGUAGUUGGGAGUUUAACCGCGAUCAACCAAGGGUUAGUUCUCCACUGCCACUCCUAUGAUUUCUCCGUUAUUUUCAUUCCAUAGCUCAACUGCUACUUAAGUACACGUAUUUAGUUGAUUUAGUUCAGAGUUGCGCAUUUUCACCAGGGUGUGAUUUUCAUCUAAUUUGUUUGCGCCCCAUGGAUUGUGGUGGUUAAAUCUAUCAUCUCAUGCACUCAAAUCAAAGUAAUCCUAUACAUCCUAACCAUUAUCUCAGUAUCUCUUAACAAAACCAUUUGCCACUUCUAUAGAUUUAUUAGAGGCCAUAGCUCUUAGUUAUUUUGCAUGCCAUUUGGAGUUCACUUGGCAAGCAAGUGUUGUCCACUAUUGUCGGUGCCUUGAUAAAUAUUUAGUUUCAUAUGUAAACUUGUUGAGACAUGAACAUUAGAAGCUUACACCAGCCAGGUUGAUGAGCAGUGGCUCUGUAUCAUGGAUAUUGUUUGUUAGUGAUGCCAUUUUUUGGCGGAUCUAUAUGGCCACAACUGAUGCUGCUAUAGUAAAUUGACUUCUGCAAUGCAUGUUUUAUCAGCAGGGUACUUUGUUAUUCUCAUUUGUAUGGCCUCAACUGCUGUUGCUAUUAUUGGUGUUUUAUACUAGAUGCCUUGUUAUUCUCAUUUGUACGCACAAUAAAAAUGAUUUUGGAUGCCUUCUUGCCUGUUUACUUUCCAACUGGAUCAGGCGUUCAUAUAAACAGGAUAGCUCCAACUCUUGUUUCAAGAGUGACGAGUACGCUGAAACUGCAUUCUAGUAAAUAGGGGUCACUUAUCAAAUCUGAGAAAUUUAAAACCAAUCCUCAUUGCUGACUGGUGGUUUAUAUAUAGCAAUGGUAUAUGAAAAUGAACUUGGCAAAAAUUCAGCUUUUACCUUCGAAAUAUAUGUACAGAAUUUCCAGAUCUAAUCUGAAAUGACAAUUAGGAAAUGCGGAGCAUUAUCUUGACCUUUAAAACCAAAAACCUACUAUAUGGACAAACACAACUUUCGGUAGAAAUGCUGAGCAUUAUUUUGUUGGUGGAUUUUCUCCCUAGGCAUUUCUUUUUCUAUCCUUGUCGCCUCGUGCCGCCCGGUGAAUAUGUAUUCCAGAAAUAAGUUUAAUCUGAAUCUAAGAAGAAAAUUCCACAUAGUUAUAUUGUGGCAGUCCUACAGUAAGAAUACAGAGGUUUAAACUUGUUUAUUUGUGUACUACGCACAUGUAUUAGUGAGUCAAUUUGUUGUUGUUUUAUACUAGAUACUUUCUUAUUCUCAUUUGUAGGCACAAUAAGAUUUAAGGAUUUUGGAAAGUAUGUAAUUUGUUUUUUAAGUUUCUUCUUCUACUAUAUGUUCAUAUCUACAAAUGUCUAAUGUUGUUGUGAAUUUGGUAGGUAUGUUGUUGUCCAUCACAAUCCGCCAUGACAUAUAGUUGCCAUCAGGAGGGUUGACAACAAGAACACGAGUGACAACCUUAGUAGUUUAUAUGUUUUGUUGAUGUAAAUUGGAUUGUACCGGUUCCUAAUCCUUGCUAUGUGAUAUAUUUUGUCAAUAUAUAUUGUAUAUUAUCAUUUCAUGGAGGAUAUUAUAAACUGCUAGGUUGUAGAUAUGUAUGGAUGGUUGCAUAUUGAGUGAUUUUGUCAAUAUAUGUUAUAGAUACCUAUGAAUGGUUGCAUAUUGAGU